GAUGAACGCUGGCGGCGUGCCUAAUACAUGCAGGUCGAGCGAACCACUUCGGUGGUGAGCGGCGAACGGGCGAGUAACACGUAGGUGAUCUGCCCAUCAGACGGGGACAACGAUUGGAAACGAUCGCUAAUACCGGAUAGGACGAAAGUUUAAAGGUGCUUCUGGCACCGCUGAUGGAUGAGCCUGCGGCGCAUUAGCUAGUUGGUAGGGUAAAGGCCUACCAAGGCGACGAUGCGUAGCCGACCUGAGAGGGUGAACGGCCACACUGGGACUGAGACACGGCCCAGACUCCUACGGGAGGCAGCAGUAGGGAAUCUUCGGCAAUGGGCGAAAGCCUGACCGAGCAACGCCGCGUGAAUGAUGAAGGCCUUCGGGUUGUAAAAUUCUGUUAUAAGGGAAGAACGACUUUAGUAGGAAAUGGCUAGAGUGUGACGGUACCUUAUGAGAAAGCCACGGCUAACUACGUGCCAGCCGCCGCUGUAACAC
rnacentral:rRNA from 1 species